UAAUGAGGGAAGCAUGGUACUGUGUACAGAAAUCAAUAUUGGUACUAAUGUCUGCUUGCUCUGAUGCCUCUUGGCUCUGAUUUUGCGGGCCUGGAAACGUGCCCACAUUU